rnacentral:rRNA from 1 species
GACGAACGCUGGCGGCGUGCUUAACACAUGCAAGUCGAACGAUGAAAUGGAGCUUGCUCCAUGGAUUAGUGGCGAACGGGUGAGUAACACGUGAAUAACCUGCCCUUAAUUUUGGAAUAACCCAGGGAAACCUGGGCUAAUACAGGCUAAGUAAACAUGUGGCAUCACAGGGUUUUGGAAAGGUCUUCGAUUAAGGAUGGAUUCGCGGCCUAUCAGCUUGUUGGUGAGGUAAUGGCUCACCAAGGCGACGACGGGUAGCCGGCCUGGGAGGGUGAACGGCCACAAUGCGACUGAGACACGGCCCAGACUCCUACGGGAGGCAGCAGUGGGGAAUAUUGCGCAAUGGACGAAAGUCUGACGCAGCGACGCCUCGUGAGGGACGAAGGUCUUCGGAUUGUAAACCUCUUUCAGCAGGGACGAAGCGAAAGUGACGGUACCUGCAGAAGAAGCACCGGCUAACUAUGUGCCAGCCGCCGCUGUAA